CCGAGAUGGUCAACGCGGUUCAAGGCACAGGUCUGAAAAACCUGGGACACAGGUUCGACUCCUGUUCUCGGCACCU
rnacentral:tRNA from 1 species